rnacentral:rRNA from 1 species
GAUUAGUGGCGCACGGGUGAGUAACGCAUAGGUUAUGUGCCUCUUAGUUUGGGAUAGCCAUUGGAAACGAUGAUUAAUACCAGAUACUCCCUACGGGGGAAAGAUUUAUCGCUAAGAGAUCAGCCUAUGUCCUAUCAGCUUGUUGGUAAGGUAAUGGCUUACCAAGGCUAUGACGGGUAUCCGGCCUGAGAGGGUGAACGGACACACUGGAACUGAGACACGGUCCAGACUCCUACGGGAGGCAGCAGUAGGGAAUAUUGCUCAAUGGGGGAAACCCUGAAGCAGCAACGCCGCGUGGAGGAUGAAGGUUUUAGGAUUGUAAACUCCUUUUGUUAGAGAAGAUAAUGACGGUAUCUAACGAAUAAGCACCGGCUAACUCCGUGCCAGCAGCCGCGGUAAUACGGAGGGUGCAAGCGUUACUCGGAAUCACUGGGCGUAAAGAGCGCGUAGGCGGGAUAGUCAGUCAGGUGUGAAAUCCUAUGGCUUAACCAUAGAACUGCAUUUGAAACUACUAUUCUAGAGUGUGGGAGAGGUAGGCGGAAUUCUUGGUGUAGGGGUAAAAUCCGUAGAGAUCAAGAGGAAUACUCAUUGCGAAGGCGACCUGCUGGAACAUUACUGACGCUGAUUGCGCGAAAGCGUGGGGAGCAAACAGGAUUAGAUACCCUGGUAGUCCACGCCCUAAACGAUGGAUGCUAGUUGUUGGAGGGCUUAGUCUCUCCAGUAAUGCAGCUAACGCAUUAAGCAUCCCGCCUGGGGAGUACGGUCGCAAGAUUAAAACUCAAAGGAAUAGACGGGGACCCGCACAAGCGGUGGAGCAUGUGGUUUAAUUCGAAGAUACACGAAGAACCUUACCUAGGCUUGACAUUGAGAGAAUCCGCUAGAAAUAGUGGAGUGUCUGGCUUGCUAGACCUUGAAAACAGGUGCUGCACGGCUGUCGUCAGCUCGUGUCGUGAGAUGUUGGGUUAAGUCCCGCAACGAGCGCAACCCCCUUUCUUAGUUGCUAACAGGUCAUGCUGAGAACUCUAAGGAUACUGCCUCCGUAAGGAGGAGGAAGGUGGGGACGACGUCAAGUCAUCAUGGCCCUUACGCCUAGGGCUACACACGUGCUACAAUGGGGUGCACAAAGAGAAGCAAUACUGCGAAGUGGAGCCAAUCUUCAAAACACCUCUCAGUUCGGAUUGUAGGCUGCAACUCGCCUGCAUGAAGCUGGAAUCGCUAGUAAUCGCAAAUCAGCCAUGUUGCGGUGAAUACGUUCCCGGGUCUUGUACUCACCGCCCGUCACACCAUGGGAGUUGUGUUUGCCUUAAGUCGGGAUGCUAAAUUAGCUACUGCCCACGGCACACACAGCGACUGGGGUGAA